GAAACCAAAGUAUGAGCCUACCUGCAUAAAUGGACCAAUAGGAACCAGAAGGAGGAACAUUCAAAUCAAAUCAAAUGUAUUUGUAUAGCACUUUUUACACGCAAGCAUGUCACAGAGGGCUUCACAUACGCCCAUAGAACUGCCCCUCAACCAACCUAAACCCUCAAGGAAGACAAGGAAAAACUCCCAGAAAAACUCUCAACAGGAGAAAAAAUGGAAGAAUUGCUCCUUGGGAGGAGCAAUUCAGAGAGGGAUCCCCUCCUCCAGAGACGGAGGAGGAACAUUCCUGUUUAUAUACACCAAUGGGAAACAGGAGGAGAUGAAAGUUGAUUCUCAGAGCAGGAACUGAGACAAACACACAGACCUGCUGUACCUGGACUGACCCUCACCUGUCACUGACCACCACGCUCCUAUAGACCUGCUGUACCUGGACUGACCCUCACCUGUCACUGACCACCACGCUCCUAUAGACCUGCUGUACCUGGACUGACCCUGACCUGUCACUGACCACCACGCUCCUAUAGACCUGCUGUACCUGGACUGACCCUCACCUGUCACUGACCACCACGCUCCUAUAGACCUGCUGUACCUGGACUGACCCUCACCUGUCACUGACCACCACGCUCCUAUAGACCUGCUGUACCUGGACUGACCCUCACCUGUCACUGACCACCACGCUCCUAUAGACCUGCUGUACCUGGACUGACCCUCACCUGUCACUGACCACCACACUCCUAUAGACCUGCUGUACCUGGACUGACCCUCACCUGUCACUGACCACCACGCUCCUAUAGACCUGCUGUACCUGGACUGACCCUCACCUGUUCCUGAACAUGAUUCUGGAUCAGCUCUUGGUACAUCUGAACCUGUGUUCUGAUUAAAGGUUCUGCACUUGU